rnacentral:rRNA from 1 species
GACGACGCUGGCGGCGUGCUUAAUACAUGCAAGUCGAGCGAGGUUACUGGAGUGGAGCCCUUCGGGGGUGAAGCUGCUUUAACCUAGCGGCGGACGGGUGAGUAACGCGUGGGUAACCUACCCCAAAGUCCGGGAUAACAGCGGGAAACCGCUGCUAAUACCGGAUGCCUUUACCUUGGGGCAUCUUGAGGUAAAGAAAGGCAACGCUUUGGGAUGGGCCCGCGUCCCAUUAGCUAGUUGGUGAGGUAACGGCUCACCAAGGCGACGAUGGGUAGCCGGCCUGAGAGGGUGGACGGCCACACUGGGACUGAGACACGGCCCAGACUCCUACGGGAGGCAGCAGUAGGGAAUAUUGCGCAAUGGACGGAAGUCUGACGCAGCGACGCCGCGUGAGCGAAGAAGGCCUUCGGGUUGUAAAGCUCUGUUGUAAGGGACGAAGGAGCUGGGUAGUAACUGACCUGGCGGUGACGGUACCUUACCAGCAAGCCCCGGCUAACCUACGUG